rnacentral:rRNA from 1 species
CGGGAUGAGCUCAAAUUUAAAAUCUGGCGUCUUUCAGGCGUCCGAGUUGUAAUCUAUAGAGGCGUUUUCCGCGCCGGACCGCGUCCAAGUCUCUUGGAAUAGAGUAUCAAAGAGGGUGACAAUCCCGUACUUGACGCGACAACCGGUGCUCUGUGAUACGUUCUCAAUGAGUCGAGUUGUUUGGGAAUGCAGCUCUAAAUGGGUGGUAAAUUCCAUCUAAGGCUAAAUAUUGGCGAGAGACCGAUAGCGAACAAGUACCGUGAGGGAAAGAUGAAAAGCACUUUGGAAAGAGAGUUAAACAGCACGUGAAAUUGUUAAAAGGGAAACGAUUGAAGUCAGUCGUGUGAAAGGUAUUCAGCCGUCUCUGGCGGUGUAUUUGCCUUUCACGGGUCAACAUCAGUUUGAUCCGGUAGAAAAAGGCGGGAGGAAGGUGGCACCCUCGGGUGUGUUAUAGCCUCCUGUCAUAUGUGCCGGACCAGACUGAGGAACGCAGCUUGCCGCAAGGCCGGGGUUCGCCCACGUACAAGCUUAGGAUGUUGACAUAAUGGCUUUAAACGACCCGUCUUGAAACACGGACCAAGGAGUCUAACAUAUCUGCGAGUGUUUGGGUGUCAAACCCAAGCGCGAAAUGAAAGUGAACGUAGGAGGGAUGCGCAAGCAGCACCUUCGACCGAUCCGGAAGUAUUCUGAUGGAUUUGAGUAAGAGCAUAUAUGCUGGGACCCGAAAGAUGGUGAACUAUGCCUGAAUAGGGCGAAGCCAGGGGAAACUCUGGUGGAGGCUCGUAGCGAUUCUGACGUGCAAAUCGAUCGUCAAAUUUGGGUAUAGG